UAUCGAAUUGUCAACAAGAGUUGUUGCUGGUCUCCACAUGGGGGCAUGUGCACGCUCUGUUUACACAUCCACUCACACCUGUGCACCCUCUGUAGUUCUAUGGCCUGGGUGGGCUCUGUCCUCCCGCUGUGGUUCUACGUCUUUACACACACACUACAAUAAGGUCUCAUGGAAUGUAUGUAGCGUCUAACGCAAUGAAAUACAACUUUCAGCAACGGAUCUCUUGGCUCUCGCAUCGAUGAAGAACGCAGCGAAAUGCGAUAAGUAAUGUGAAUUGCAGAAUUCAGUGAAUCAUCGAAUCUUUGAACGCACCUUGCGCCCUUUGGCUAUUCCGAAGGGCAUGCCUGUUUGAGUAUCAUGAACACCUCAACCCUCAUGGCUUGCCAUGAUGGGCUUGGACUUUGGGGGUCUUGUUGGCCUGUGAGCCAGCUCCCCUUAAAUGAAUUAGCUUGCCAGUGUUUGGUGGCGUCACAGGUGUGAUAACUAUCUACGCUUGUGGUUUCCCACCAGAUAACCUUCAGCGAUGGAGGUUCGCUGGAGCUCAUAAAUGUCUCUCCCCAGUGAGGACAGAUUUUGACCAUUUG
rnacentral:misc_RNA from 1 species